rnacentral:tRNA from 1 species
GCAUGAAUAGCUCAGCAGGUAGAGCACUUGAUUGAAGAUCAGGGUGUCGCUGGUUCGAUUCCAGCUUCAUGCACCA